GAAUGCAUCUGUGCUGAGUCAUCCUGACUAGAAUCAAUCAGGUGAGGGUGGGCUAGGAGUGAGCUCUAGGCCAAGGGAGUCAGAGACCCUUCUAUGGUUAUUUUCCUAGUUAUUCAAAGACCAACGUAGGUGCUGUUGUGAAGGGACUUUGCUGGUAUAAUUAAAGUCCCUGAUGAGUUAACUUCAUGCUGGUCAAAGGGGAGAUUACCCUGGGCAGGCCUGACUUUAGCAGUUGCAAGGCCUUUAAGGAAAGAGGGGUUAGUCUUUCUCCUGGGAGCUUAGAGAUUGACAACAGCUGCUGUGUCUGCAAUCUCUCCUUUCCCUUGGGUCCUUCUUUCUGGCAACCACCAGGGGUGGGUGCCCAGCUUCAGCUCUAGGGGUUCCAGCCUGCCCACUCCCUUCCUGACCACUUCCCUGGGGACUUCACACUUACUUAGCCAGCUCCCACAACAGGAUGGUGACUGUGAACUGUGGUGUUGGAGAAGACUCUUGAGAGUCCCUUGGACUGCAAGGAGAUCCAACCAGUCCAUUCUGAAGGAGAUCAGCCCUGGGAUUUCUUUGGAAGGAAUGAUGCUAAAGCUGAAACUCCAGUACUUUGGCCACCUCAUGCGAAGAGUUGACUCAUUGGAAAAGACUCUGAUGCUGGAAGGGAUUGGGGGCAGGAGGAGAAGGGGACAACAGAGGAUGAGAUGGCUGGAUGGCAUCACUGACUCGAUGGACGAGGCUGCAGUGUGAUGCAGUGGGGAUCCAUGAUCUGAUCCACUCAGGGCUCUCCCUGUGGCUAUGAGGAAGCCACUUCUCUGAACCACAGUGUCCUGAGCUCUCAAGAAGGAGGAAAAGGCUUGAAUGCCAGUUGCUCUGCAUCACGGCUGUCGAACAGCUGUCAUCAGCGGACAUUCCGAAGGCAUACAUCUAUUUCUCCCGCCCUUACUUUGAGUUCCACUUUGCACUAUUCUGCUGUUAAUUAUUCCCCUCUAUUCUCUUGUCUAAUUUUGUGUGUCAUUAAAAUAGUUCCAGCUACAUUUUCCUCUUGCUGUUUCUUCGGCUGUAACACCUGUAAUGUGGGGAGACCUGAGUUGAGCCCGUUCGGUCCAAGGAGAACUCAGGUCUCUCACCUCCUGCUCCACUUCACCUGCUCUGUCUAGGGCAGGUGGCGUGUCCCCUCAUACCAGCAGCCCUGCGGUGACACUCUCCCCAUCUGUCUGCUUAUCACCUGACAGCCUGGCCGCCUCAUCGCUCUCCUGUCUGUACAGUUCUAUCGAUCAGACACUCGGUAACCUUGACAGUGUCACUUGAUGUCUUUGCCAUCGAGAGAGCAUCCUCUGGCUCCUGC
ensembl:lncRNA